rnacentral:lncRNA from 1 species
UGCAUGAUUAAAGAGAAAUGAAUUUUCAAAACUAAAGUACUAAAACUGCCCUAUUUUCCAAAAUGAAUUUCUUUGAACUGAUGGAAUUAAUUAUGAGCAUGAUUUAAACUCUUGAUGCAUAACCUUAAUAGCAUGACUAAACUUAGAAUAAAUGAUUUAGAAUAUUUAGCCUAUAGAAUAACUCUUGAAGAAAUUAGUGACCGGGG